AAGCUCGUAGUUGAAUUUCGGGGUUAGUAGGUUGGUCAUGCCUCUGGUAUGUACUGGUCUCACUGAUUCCUCCUUCCUGAUGAACCGUAAUGCCAUUAACUUGGUGUUGCGGGGAAUUUGGACUGUUACUUUGAAAAAAUUAGAGUGUUUAAAGCAAGCUAACGCUUGAAUACAUUAGCAUGGAAUAAUGAAAUAGGACGUUCGAUCCUAUUUUGUUGGUUUCUAGGAUUGACGUAAUGAUUAAUAGGGAUAGUUGGGGGCAUUAGUAUUCAAUUGUCAGAGGUGAAAUUCUUGGAUUUAUUGAAGACUAACUACUGCGAAAGCAUUUGCCAAGGAUGUUUUCAUUAAUCAAGAACGAAAGUUAGGGGAUCGAAGACGAUCAGAUACCGUCGUAGUCUUAACCAUAAACUAUGCCGACUAGGGAUCGGAUGAUGUUAAUUUUUUAAUGACUCAUUUGGCGCCUUACGGGAAACCAAAGUGUUUGGGUUCCGGGGGGAGUAUGGUCGCAAGGCUGAAACUUAAAGGAAUUGACGGAGGGGCACCACCAGGGGUGGAGCCUGCGGCUUAAUUUGACUCAACACGGGGAAACUCACCAGGUCCAGACAUAGUAGGGAUUGACAGAUUGAGAGCUCUUUCUUGAUUCUAUGGGUG
rnacentral:rRNA from 1 species